rnacentral:rRNA from 1 species
AUUGAACGCUGACGGCAGGCCUAACACAUGCAAGUCGACCGAGUGGCGGACGGGUGAGUAAUGUCUGGGAAACUGCCCGAUGGAGGGGGAUAACUACUGGAAACGGUAGCUAAUACCGCAUACCAUCGGAUGUGCCCAGAUGGGUUUAGCUAGUAGGUUGGGUAACGGCUCACCUAGGCGACGAUUCCUAGCUGGUCUGAGAGGACGACCAUCCACACUGGAGCUGAGACACGGUCCAGACGCCUACGGGAGGAAGCAGUGGGGAAUAUUGCACAAGGGGCGCAAGCCUGAGGCAGCCAUGCCGCGUGUAUGAAGAAGGCCUUCGGGUUGUAAAGUAAUUUCAGCGAGGAGGCGUUACUCGAAGAAGAAGCACCGGCUAACUCCGUGCCAGCAGCCGCGGUAAUAC